rnacentral:sRNA from 1 species
UUUCAGCCGCGAUUGCAGCGUAAAUCCUUUUUUGGUGGCUGAGGCUGCCGAAGCCGCCAAAAAAGAUUGCAGCGUAAAGCGCGUACCAAA